GGCUGAUGUAGCCAAGUGGAUCAUGGCAGUGGAUGGUGGAUACACUAUGCGCGGGUCG
rnacentral:tRNA from 1 species